ensembl:snoRNA
UGUGGACAUUACGAAAGCCGCAGCUCCUUCACCUCAGCUGCUAUAGCCAAAAAGGAGCUCAGAGUGACAGCCGUCCCUGGCAGGAACUCUCUGCUUGCCAUAAUGGAUCUGCAGUAUUUUGAGGAAACACUGUU